rnacentral:lncRNA from 1 species
GGCGACAUAAUUUUUUUCUUUUGAUUAAUAUUCUUGUACCGGCUUGGUAAUUGAGUACUUUUUGUACCUCAAGAUUGAAUGUUAGACAUUGAAGUGAAGGAUUUAAAGUUUCAAAUGGCUAAAUGUGUUGUUCUCAUCAAUAUAGGGUGCCAACAUUGACCUUUUUCUUGCUGAUUCCAUACUGGCAUCCUAUUUUAUUCUUUUUGGACCAUAGUUUUGAGUCGACGGAGACUAAAAACUU